GAUUAAAGAUGGCCACCAGCAGAAUGAGACGGAGCUGUAACCACUUUGGGAUUAUGGCAUCAUUUGUGAUAUAUGGAUGAAAGAGGGCAAGGAGGGGUCUAUUAAUACUUGCCGUAUUCCGCGUUUUCCAUUAUUCUGGAAUAUUUCUGUAGCUGUCCUCAACUUGCUGCAGGGCUGGCUGUGUCCUAACGAAGCCCCUCAAGAUGAACAUGGUGAAGAGGAUCAUGGGCCGGCCGCGUCAGGAGGAGUGCAGCCCCCAGGACAACGCCCUGGGUCUCAUGCAUCUGAGACGCCUCUUCUCUGAACUCUGCCACCCGCCUCGUCACAUGACCCAGAAGGAACAGGAAGAGAAGCUCUACAUGAUGCUGCCUGUCUUCAACAGGGUGUUCGGCAACGCUCCCCCCCGCCACCAUGACAGAGAAGUUCUCUGACCUGCUGCAAUUCACCACUCAGGUGUCUCGCCUCAUGGUCACCGAGAUCCGGAGGAGAGCCUCCAACAAGUCCACAGAGGCCGCCAGCAGAGCCAUAGUCCAGUUCCUGGAGGUGAACCAGAGUGAGGAGGCAAGUCGAGGCUGGAUGCUGCUGACCACCAUCAACCUGCUGUCUUCCUCUGGACAGGUGUGUGUCCUGGGUGUGUGCGUCCUGGGUGGGUGUCCUGUGUGCAAAACAAAGGGCCUUCUUACUGUGACGUCACCGGCAACAAUGGAGUCUCUCUCUCUCGCUCUCUCUCUCUCUCUCUCUCUCUCUCU